rnacentral:misc_RNA from 1 species
AAAAAAAAAAAAAGGACGGAACCGAAACUGAGGGAGACCCUACAAUUUUGAUUCAAAUACCCUGAACCUUGAAUAGGAACCAGCCGGUGGCCACUCCUACCCUUCCCACAACAAUUAUAGUUUCCACCACUUUAUCACCCACCGCAAAAAAAUUUUUUUAUAGAACUCCAUUGCAAAGAUCCUAAAUUAAGGUUCAUUUACCUUAAUUCCUAUAAUCCCAUUUCGAUUCUUAAAUUUACUUCAAGUAUCACUUUCAUAUAUACAACUCAAUUCACCAACUUUCUCAAACA